CCUUGUGGCGAGAAAAGCUAUGCGGAUUGGUUGUACUGCCCGUACCGCAAACCGACACAGGUAGAUGAGGAGAAGAUCCUAAGGCCAACGGGAGAAGGGUUGUUAAGGAACUAGGCAAAUUGACCCCGUAACUUCGGAAUAAGGGGUGCCUACGAGAGUAGGUCGCAGAGAAUCGGCCCAAGCAACUGUUUACCAAAAACACAGGUCUCUGCUAAAUCGAAAGAUGACGUAUAGGGGCUGACGCCUGCCCGGUGCUGGAAGGUUAAGAGGAGGACUUAGGGGAACCCGAAGGUUUGAAUUGAAGCCCCAGUAAACGGCGGCCGUAACGAUAACGGUCCUAAGGUAGCGAAAUUCCUUGUCAGGUAAGUUCUGACCCGCACGAAAGGCGUAAUGAUUUGGGCACUGUCUCAACAGCCCGCCCGGCGAAAUUGUAGUACCGGUGAAGAUGCCGGUUACCCGCAACUAGACGGAAAGACCCCAUGGAGCUUUACUGCAGCUUAAUACUGAGAUUCGGUAAAUCAUGUACAGGAUAGGUGGGAGGCAUUGAAGCACGGUCGUCAGGUCGUGUGGAGCCAGCCUUGGGAUACCACCCUUGGUUUGCUGAAUUUCUAACCUGCUGCCCUGAAUCGGGUAGGGGGACACUGUUAGGCGGGCAGUUUGACUGGGGCGGUCGCCUCCUAAAAUGUAACGGAGGCGCUCAAAGGUUGGCUCAGCAUGGAUGGAAACCAUGCAAUGAGUGUAAACGUAUAAGCCAGCCUGACUGCGAGACCGACGGGUCGAGCAGAGACGAAAGUCGGAGUUAGUGAUCAGGUGGUAUGUGAGUGGAAAUGCCAUCGCUCAACGGAUAAAAGCUACCCUGGGGAUAACAGGCUGAUCUCCCCCAAGCGUCCACAGCGACGGGGAGGUUUGGCACCUCGAUGUCGGCUCGUCGCAUCCUGGGGCUGAAUUAGGUCCCAAGGGUUUGGCUGUUCGCCAAUUAAAGCGGCACGCGAGCUGGGUUCAGAACGUCGUGAGACAGUUCGGUCCCUAUCUGUUGCGGGCGUAGGAGAUUUGAAGGGAGCUGUCCUUAGUACGAGAGGACCGGGAUGGACGCACCUCUGGUGUACCAGUUGUUCUGCCAAGGGCACGGCUGGGUAGCUACGUGCGGACGAGAUAAACGCUGAAGGCAUCUAAGCGUGAAACUCCCCCUGAGAUAAGAUCUCCACUGAGGCUCGACGUAGACUAUGUCGUUGAUAGGUCAGAGGUGUAAGUGCUGAGAGGCAUUAAGCUGACUGAUACUAAUAAGCCGAAAGCUUGUU
rnacentral:rRNA from 1 species